rnacentral:rRNA from 1 species
UUAGAUACCCUAUUAUACUAAUAAAAACCUGAAUUACUAGUAGAUAUGUUCUUUAAAUUUGAAGAAUUUGGCGGUGAUUUAGUCUUGUUAGAGGAACCUGUUUUUGAAUCGAUAAACCACGUUAAAUCUUGCUUAUUUUAUUAGUUUAUAUACCGUCAUUAGCAGAUGAUUUUUGGAGGAUAAAUCAUUAAAAUUUAGGAUAGUAAUAUAAAUUAAAUUAGAUCAAGGUGUAGCUUAUAAAUAAGUUAAAAUGGGUUACAAUAAAAUGUAUUUAUAUGGAUUAAUUAUACUAAGAGAAUUAUGAAGGUGGAUUUAAUUGUAAUAUGAGUUUAACAAGCUUGUAAGAUAAAAGCUCUAAAUCAUGUACAUAUCGCCCGUCGCU